rnacentral:tRNA from 1 species
ACGGAAAUAGCUCAACUGGUAGAGCGUAGGAUUGCCAUUCCUGAGAUAUGGGUUCAAGUCCCUUUUUUCGUA